UGCAAUUAGCAGGUUGCAUCAUGCACUGAUUAUAAAUUACAAUGGGCACAGAGAAGGUGGAUGGAGAAGCAGGGAUUAGAUAGGGUAACCGGAUCCCAGUAGCAUGGGGUGGGGGGACCGUUUGGCCACUCAGGGACCCCAGUGGCCUCUACCUACCUAAGGCGUCACAGGGCAACAGCAACAAGUCUCCCUCAAUGCCUGCUUUGUGUGGCCCAGAUAAUGAUUUACUAACUGCAGGAAUCAGGAGGUGUGAAAGAAGAUGGCUUUCUUAACUCCCAUUGUCUCCUGGCUGGAAUGCCCCUCGGCCCGCCCCGCUGCACCUGUGCACACGGUGGACACCCAGGGCCCACAGUGGCAGAGGGGGCCACCCUGUCUGCUGGACCCCCAGAACCUGC
rnacentral:lncRNA from 1 species